rnacentral:misc_RNA from 1 species
CAACCCUCUUUGUCUAUAGAUGGCACU